rnacentral:rRNA from 1 species
GACGAACGCUGGCGGCGUGCUUAACACAUGCAAGUCGAACGGAAAGGCCCUGCUUUUGUGGGGUGCUCGAGUGGCGAACGGGUGAGUAACACGUGAGUAACCUGCCCUUGACUUUGGGAUAACUUCAGGAAACUGGGGCUAAUACCGGAUAGGAGCUCCUGCUGCAUGGUGGGGGUUGGAAAGUUUCGGCGGUUGGGGAUGGACUCGCGGCUUAUCAGCUUGUUGGUGGGGUAGUGGCUUACCAAGGCUGUGACGGGUAGCCGGCCUGGGAGGGUGACCGGCCACAUUGGGACUGAGAUACGGCCCAGACUCCUACGGGAGGCAGCAGUGGGGAAUAUUGCACAAUGGGCGGAAGCCUGAUGCAGCAACGCCGCGUGCGGGAUGACGGCCUUCGGGGUGUAAACCGCUUUCGCCUGUGACGAAGCGUGAGUGACGGUAAUGGGUAAAGAAGCACCGGCUAACUACGUG